AUGGGCUCACCUCUUCACCAGAGAGGGAUGGCACCACAGGAUGGAUGGAAGAUAAAUUAUCCAAAAAAGGAUUUACUCUCUCUCACAGCAUUGAAUAAUUCAGAAAUUCAGAAGAUUCUUCCUUUUUCCCUCUUCCGUCUGGUUGGGACUUGCCUUUGGAAGAAGAUUCCCCAGAGGCCACACACUGUGUGGAGCCCAGGUAGCCUGGUUACACACUGCUUGUGUCUAGUAUUUCCUAGUGGCUGGCUCCAGCCUUUGCUCAGCAUGCAUCACUCUAUAGAAGCCUCUAACUUGAAGUGGAAAAAUUGUUCUCCUGAGGUCAGGCCUUUUAGGCUGUGUGUUGCAAAUAGUGGGCAGAAAAGCUUUGGAACUGCUAGUGAGCUGCUUAUAGUUUAAGACAACUGAACACAAUCAGUUACCGUGUCAGGCACAGACUAUAUUCCUGCGGAAGAAACCUGUUAUUAAGAAAACAAGAACCAUUAUCUUAUCUUCAGACUUUGGAAACACUAACAUCAGCUUUGUGUAAUGAUACAAAGGUCUGCCUAUGUACUGCGAGAGCUAUGAAAAGAAACAUAUCCUAGAUGACUGAACACACUUUUUACAUAGGUUGAAAAUAUAACGUUGUCUUUUUAAAUUAAAAAAAUGACUAGAUAAUAAAUAAAGAUGAUGCAACGAUCA
rnacentral:lncRNA from 1 species